AAAGUCGAGUUGGCUUAGGGAUACGUUCGUUGGGUAGGGGAGCGUUCUGUAAGCCUGUGAAGGUGGCCUGUGAGGGUUGCUGGAGGUAUCAGAAGUGCGAAUGCUGACAUAAGUAACGAUAAAGCGGGUGAAAAGCCCGCUCGCCGGAAGACCAAGGGUUCCUGUCCAACGUUAAUCGGGGCAGGGUGAGUCGACCCCUAAGGCGAGGCCGAAAGGCGUAGUCGAUGGGAAACGGGUUAAUAUUCCCGUACUUGGUGUUACUGCGAAGGGGGGACGGAGAAGGCUAUGUUGGCCGGGCGACGGUUGUCCCGGUUUAAGCGUGUAGGUGUGUGUUCCAGGUAAAUCCGGUUCACUUUAACACUGAGGCGUGACGACGAGGCACUACGGUGCUGAAGCAACAAAUGCCCUGCUUCCAGGAAAAGCCUCUAAGCAUCAGGUAACAUCAAAUCGUACCCCAAACCGACACAGGUGGUCAGGUAGAGAAUACCAAGGCGCUUGAGAGAACUCGGGUGAAGGAACUAGGCAAAAUGGUGCCGUAACUUCGGGAGAAGGCACGCUGACACGUAGGUGAAGUGAUUUACUCAUGGAGCUGAAGUCAGUCGAAGAUACCAGCUGGCUGCAACUGUUUAUUAAAAACACAGCACUGUGCAAACACGAAAGUGGACGUAUACGGUGUGACGCCUGCCCGGUGCCGGAAGGUUAAUUGAUGGGGUCAGCGCAAGCGAAGCUCCUGAUCGAAGCCCCGGUAAACGGCGGCCGUAACUAUAACGGUCCUAAGGUAGCGAAAUUCCUUGUCGGGUAAGUUCCGACCUGCACGAAUGGCGUAAUGAUGGCCAGGCUGUCUCCACCCGAGACUCAGUGAAAUUGAACUCGCUGUGAAGAUGCAGUGUACCCGCGGCAAGACGGAAAGACCCCGUGAACCUUUACUAUAGCUUGACACUGAACAUUGAGCCUUGAUGUGUAG
rnacentral:rRNA from 1 species